UGUUAGGUUUGUUAUAGCCACUGUAAUCUUCGCAUUUAUCAUGCUUGGUGCUUUACUUCCACAAUGCCAUUAUCAUAUUAAAAGUAGUGUCAAUGUGAAUGAUAAAAAUAAUAUCAUAAAUAAAUUCCUGCAAGACCAUUGUUGGUUUGGCGCGUUGUGCACUGGUCAAAGAGCUAUUUACUGAUUAAUUUGUGGUUACCAUGGUACUAUACGCUAUGGCAAAGUAAGUGACUGACCUUAUGCAUCAUCUUCUUAUUGUGAAGUCAGCUUGCUUAAGGUGUCACUAAAGUUAUGCAGCUUAUAAUUUCAACUGCCGGCAUCAGCAUCAAGCAGCCUAGGGAGAAGGUCACUUUACUCAGAAAUCCUUUUUUUAGCACCUGCAAUACCAUUACCACUCAAGCUGCAGGAAAGCAUCCCUUCCUAACACUCUACUUAGGCAUGCCUUUGCAACUUGGUCCUUCAUUGCGGAGACUUUUCUUUUCCUGUAUGUUGGUAUGGAUGCGCUUGAUAUCGGAAAGUGGGAGUUUGCCAGUGACAGCCCUGGGAAAUCCAUUUGCAUAAGCUCAAUUUUGCUAGGAUUAGUUCUGGUGGGAAGAGCUGCUUUUUUCCCACUGUCCUUCUUGUCCAACUUAAUGAAAAAAGACUCCUUUGGAAAAAAAAUAACCUGGAGACAACAGAUCGUAAUAUGGUGGGCUGGACUGAUGAGAGGGGUCGUGUCCAUUGCUCUUGCUUAGAACAAGUUUCCUGCACUUCGAGAGUUUGUCAGUGGUGGAAAGCCUGUCUGGGGAUCGAGUGAUAAGUAGACGGAGCAAGCUAAAGAGUUGGUGGAGUACCAAGUAUUAUUUUGUUUCCUCCUUAUUGUGAUGAUGAUUUGCUAAUUAGAACAAAUUAGAGGAGUUAAAAGUUUUUGAUAUAAAAUUUAUAAGUUAAAUUUUUAUGACAGAUUGCUAAUAUAAGGAACUUCGAUGGAGAUUAUUAAGUCUCAUAUUUAACAUUGUGCAGCACUAUUUCAGUUUCAUUGUUUCAUUGAUUUCGCUUUUCAAAUGGGGUAGUCUGUGUUGGUCCCUCAUAAUUCGUCUUCUUUUUCCAAUAUAUCCAAGUGUCGGUCUAUUAUAAUUUUCCUUUGUCUGUAUAAGUGGGAGCUCUAAACCAUCAUCUUCGUGUUUGAAAUGUGAUGUUGAGAGGAGGCAUGCGAAAGGAGGACGAUGACAUUGGAAGAUGGCAAAUGGGAUACACUGAUGGUUAGACUAGCACAUGGUGGGAUCAGACCUCAGGUCGAGAUGUGAUAGAGAAUUGGUUUUUAAAGGAAGAUGUGGGUUCAGAGAUGAAGGUUUUUGUCUGAAUUUGACUUAUGUAAUGAAAAAAAAAUAUCUGUGUUAGAGAUUUGUAUAUUUGUCUCAUCAGGAAACUUGGACUUACAAAUUGAUCUAAUGGGAUCUGUUGCACAACACAGAUUUCACUGGAAAAAUGCAAA